AAAAAGCUCGUAGUUGGAUUUCGGAACCGGCCGAUUGGUCCGUCCUCUGGAUCGUGUACUGAUCGGUCUGUUCUUCUUCGCGAAGACCGCGUGUGCUCUUAACUGAGUGGGCGUGGGAUUCGCGACGUUUACUUUGAAAAAAUUAGAGUGUUCAAAGCAGGCAGUCGCUUGAAUAUCUCAGCAUGGAAUAAUAGAAUAGGACUUUGGUCUUAUUUUGUUGGUUUCCGAGACCGAAGUAAUGAUUAAUAGGGACAGUUGGGGGCAUUCGUAUUUCAUUGUCAGAGGUGAAAUUCUUGGAUUUAUGAAAGACGAACUUCUGCGAAAGCAUUUGCCAAGGAUGUUUUCAUUAAUCAAGAACGAAAGUUGGAGGCUCGAAGACGAUCAGAUACCGUCCUAGUUCCAACCAUAAACGAUGCCGUCUGCGGAUCGGAGGUCGCUCAUGUAAGGCUCCUUCGGCACGCUAUGGAGAAAUCAAAGACUUC
rnacentral:rRNA from 1 species